CCUACGGGAGGCAGCAGUGGGGAAUAUUGGACAAUGGGGGCAACCCUGAUCCAGCCAUGCCGCGUGUGUGAAGAAGGCCCUCGGGUUGUAAAGCACUUUCAGUGAGGAAGAACGCCUGGUGGUUAAUACCCAUCAGGAAAGACAUCACUCACAGAAGAAGCACCGGCUAACUCCGUGCCAGCAGCCGCGGUAAUACGGAGGGUGCGAGCGUUAAUCGGAAUUACUGGGCGUAAAGCGCGCGUAGGUGGCUUGAUAAGCCGGUUGUGAAAGCCCCGGGCUCAACCUGGGAACGGCAUCCGGAACUGUCAAGCUAGAGUGCAGGAGAGGAAGGUGGAAUGCGCGGUGUAGCGGUGAAAUGCGUAGAGGUCGGGAGGAAUACCAGUGGCGAAGGCGGCCUUCUGGACUGACACUGACACUGAGGUGCGAAAGCGUGGGUAGCAAACAGGAUUAGAUACCCUGGUAGUC
rnacentral:rRNA from 1 species